rnacentral:rRNA from 1 species
GGAUUAGAUACCCUGGUAGUCCACGCCCUAAACGAUGUACACUAGUUGUUGCGAUGCUAGACAUUGCAGUAAUGCAGUUAACACAUUAAGUGUACCGCCUGGGGAGUACGGUCGCAAGAUUAAAACUCAAAGGAAUAGACGGGGACCCGCACAAGCGGUGGAGCAUGUGGUUUAAUUCGACGAUACGCGAAGAACCUUACCUGGCCUUGACAUAGAGAGAACUUACUAGAGAUAGUUUGGUGUCUGCUUGCAGAAGCUCUCAUACAGGUGCUGCACGGCUGUCGUCAGCUCGUGCCG